ACUUGAUUUCCAGGUGGAUCAUGCCCUGCAGAGCCUCAGGGGCAGGGCUUCUUCUGCUAGGAGGGAAGGAUUAACUCCCACCAUACCAGUGCAGGGCCAAUCUGUCCCAUCACAGGACCAUAUAAUGCUUAAGCACGUUAGCAG